UAGAAGACUAUGAAGAGGAAUAGUAGUAAACGAUAUAGGUUAAGAGAGGUGACAUAAUGGUGAGAGUCACUCCUAUACUCUUACGAACUCGCCUUGGAUGUUAUAAAAGUGAAACUAGUAGCUUUUGUCGUGUUCCGCGUUAAGGAAAUGAAGUGAGUGCUGGAAUCAGUACUAAAGUUGGGUGGUACCGCGGGAAUCUCUCUCGUCCCAUUG
rnacentral:ncRNA from 1 species